CAAACAAAUACGAAAACAAUUUGACGGCAAACACAUGAGAGUCUGUGUGUCGCAGUGUGUGUGUGUGUGAGUGUGUGUACAUAUGACAAGUGAUUGAAGGCCCAAAUGUCACUGUGAAAAUGUCUCAACAAACUAAUCACGACAA